GUCCCUGUAGAGCAAUGGGCAGCGCGUUGGACUUCCAUUCCAAAGGGCGGGGGUUCGAAUCCCACCUGGGAUG